GAUUUUGGGCGCAGUGGCGCAACUGGGUAGAGGUUGGGCGGUGGAUCGCAGGUCCGAGGUUCGAACCCCCGGGGUGGUAAAUAUUUUUGUUUUGAUGAUAUUGACUUUAU
ensembl:miRNA mir-4937 ncRNA